AAUAUUGGACAAUGGGGGCAACCCUGAUCCAGCCAUCCCGCGUGUAUGAUGACGGUCUUCGGGUUUUAACGUACUUUUUGUACCGAAGAAAAGCAAUCCCCUUAUACGAAAUACUGCUUACGGUCUAUGUAGCAUACGCCCCCCCUCGUUCCGUGCCAGCCGCCGCGGUAAUACGUAGGGUGCAAGCGUUAAUCGGAAUUACUGGGGGUAAAGCGUGUGUAGGCGGGUCGGAAAGAAAGAUGUGAAAAACUAGGGGUCAACCCUGAAACUGCAUUUUUAACUGCCGAGCUAGAGUAUGUUAGAGGGGGGUAGAAUUCCUCGUGUAGCAGUGAAAUGCGUAGAUAUGUGGAGGAAUACCGAUGGCGAAGGCGGCCCCCUGGGAUAAUACUGACGCUCAGACACGAAAGCGUGGGGAGCAAACAGG
rnacentral:rRNA from 1 species